GAUGAACGCUAGCGGCAGGCUUAACACAUGCAAGUCGAGGGGCAGCACGUCUUCGGAUGGUGGCGACCGGCGCACGGGUGAGUAACGCGUAUGCAAUCUACCUUUUACAGGGGCAUAGCCCGGGGAAACCCGGAUUAAUAUCCUAUAGUACCAUUAUAUAGCAUUAUAUUAUGGUUAAAGUUUCGGCGGUAAAAGAUGAGCAUGCGUCCUAUUAGCUUGAUGGUAAGGUAACGGCUUACCAUGGCUAUGAUAGGUAGGGGUCCUGAGAGGGAGACCCCCCACACUGGUACUGAGACACGGACCAGACUCCUACGGGAGGCAGCAGUGAGGAAUAUUGGACAAUGGGCGCAAGCCUGAUCCAGCCAUGCCGCGUGCAGGAAGACGGCCCUAUGGGUUGUAAACUGCUUUUAUACGGGAAGAAACACCCCUUCGUGAAGGGACUUGACGGUACCGUAUGAAUAAGGAUCGGCUAACUCCGUGCCAGCAGCCGCGGUAAUACGGAGGAU
rnacentral:rRNA from 1 species